rnacentral:rRNA from 1 species
GAUGAACGCUGGCGGCGUGCCUAAUACAUGCAAGUCGAGCGAACGGACGAGAAGCUUGCUUCUCUGAUGUUAGCGGCGGACGGGUGAGUAACACGUGGAUAACCUACCUAUAAGACUGGGAUAACUUCGGGAAACCGGAGCUAAUACCGGAUAAUAUUUUGAACCGCAUGGUUCAAAAGUAAAAGACGGUCUUGCUGUCACUUAUAGAUGGAUCCGCGCUGCAUUAGCUAGUUGGUAAGGUAACGGCUUACCAAGGCAACGAUGCAUAGCCGACCUGAGAGGGUGGUCGGCCACACUGGAACUGAGACACGGUCCAGACUGCUACGGGAGGCAGCAGUAGGGAAUCUUCCGCAAUGGGCGAAAGCCUAACGGAGCAACGCCGCGUGAGUGAUGAAGGUCUUCGGAUCGUAAAACUCUGUUAUUAGGGAAGAACAUAUGUGUAAGUAACUGUGCACAUCUUGACGGUACCUAAUCAGAAAGCCACGGCUAACUACGUG